rnacentral:lncRNA from 1 species
CACUUAAUUUGCCACUAGCCACUGCUUGUAACCCAAAUUUUAGCUCGCAACUCGAAGCAAGAGAGACUGCUCCAAUCUCGAAACACUCGUAAGUCGAGACACCACUGUAUUAACAAAUGCAAUGCAACCAAUUUACAUGAAUUUAGGCACUUAGAAAGCUAUUAAGGUCCUUUAUCACUACCUAGAGAUUAGAUGAAUGAUUAAAAAUUUUGAGGAAAUUGUACCCUUUUUUGUUAAGGCUGGAAGGGAAAGGAAUCCUGUCUUAUCUCAGGUAACAGAAAAAAAUUGCUACUGCUAUCGUAGAUCCAUCCAUGAAUGAUGCAACUGAAGGGAAUAAUUAUAGUAGUGAGGCAGUUGGAUGUUCCAUAUUCUCCUGUGAGGAAAAUUCUUUGGAAAAUAAUUCAUAUUUCCACUUCUAUUCUUACAGAAUCAUCUACUAACAGCAGCUACAGAGAUCCAGAAAAAAAGGAUAACGUUUACUCUAACUGUGUUUGGCCAGAAGGAAAGAGGAUGGAUACCUUUU